CAUGCAAGUCGAACGAACCUAAUCUUCGGAAAGGGUUAGUGGCGCACGGGUGAGUAAUACGUAGGUGACCUACCCCAAAGUGGGGGAUAACUUCUCGAAAGAGAGGCUAAUACCGCAUAUGCUCGAUCAUUCGUUUGGUCGAGUAAAGUCGCAAGACGCUUUGGGAGGGGCCUGCGUCCGAUUAGCUGGUUGGUGAGGUAAUGGCUUACCAAGGCGAUGAUCGGUAGCUGGUCUGAGAGGACGAUCAGCCACACUGGCACUGACACACGGGCCAGACUCCUACGGGAGGCAGCAGUGAGGAAUAUUGGUCAAUGGGCGAAAGCCUGAACCAGCAACGCCGCGUGGAGGAUGAAGGCCUUCGGGUUGUAAACUCCUUUUCUGGGAGAAGAGACAAGGACGG
rnacentral:rRNA from 1 species